AGAAAACUGCAAGAAAUAACUUGGUGCGGCUGCAGAGAUUCCUAAAUGAACUGCUCUGCCAUCAUUGAGAUUGUUCAAAUGGUCGAGAGCAACCAAGAGGUCUCCCUUCAUUGGAUAUUUCACAGCGUUUGGAAGGGGGAAAAAAAGGUGGACGGCUGCCCUGUCUGAAUAUGGACCAGCUGGUCAUGGCUGGUUUUGGCACAGCUGGGACCUCCCUGUGAACUCUCAACGCCUGAUGUCCAUUUCGGACCACAGGGUGGCGCAGUUCGAGAUUCAAAGUGAUCACUGCCAGCUGGGCCUGCAGACAGAUUCCUCCAGAUGUGCUGCGUUCCGAUUGGCUGUCUACGUUGUUUCCUCACUGGCCUCAGUCACUGAGUCUCAUAUUUCCAUCCUAAUGCAGAAGAAAGCGCUAAGGAUUAUGGGUGGAGUGGAUCUUCUCAUGUCAGGCGUGGCUAUCCACCUGUCAGCCAGCUGAUACAACACACAAAGAUGGUAGGGUCCCUGCAGUGAGAAUCCUGUGUGGCAAACAAGAGUUAUAGGGGUGAGGUCAAAGUUGAGGAAGAAAAAAAGCCCUCCACGCAUCACUUAAAGGCCCACAUAUGCCACCUCCUUCACGUCUGACCUCAACCCUUCCAUGUCCUGUGAAGAAAGAGGAGGCAUUUGUGGAAGAAACCUCCUUUUUUAUAUUCGCCAUUAUUUCUUACUUUCUCUGGUCUACCGGUCCUGCCAAGUGUGAGCUUAGUUUCUUUUACACCAUCAGCUGUAACAAAACUAUUUGAAGUAAACUCACAUCAGUGCCAGCUAAAUCACAAGAUAUCACAGUCCACCUAAUUUCAACAGAAGUGGAACAAGCCAAUACAAUUCAAUAUGUUGUCUCAAAUGAAAACAGAUUAGAAAGUGCAAAAGUGAAAGUCUGCACCCCACUGGGUCCUCCCUGAGGCUGAGGAGUUACUUAGAUUACAUUUUAUUUCUAUGGUGUUUAAGUUGAAAAUGAUCAUCUUGAAUUCAGUUUUCCUCUGGAAAAAACUCCAGCGCCUGGCCUCUUUCACUUUACGGCCGCAGUCAGUGUGACAACAAGGAAGUAAAAUGACUCCUCCAGACCUCCUCCGCACUUGAAUGAUUUCACAGAUGGGAAGGAAGAAAAUGGUCUACAAACAGAUGGACCUUGUAAAGCCAGACUAGGCUUCUGAUGUAGGAAGAAGGUUUUUACCUAUUUCAUGUACAAAGCUCUAGUGGGCCAAAAGACUUGAAAUUGUAAAAUGGCUAAACUUCUUGAGCUUAGGGUUCAUUUUUUAUCAUGUAAUCCUCAACAAUUUGAAUGGAAUUACAAAGUAGGCGAGGACUAUUCCUAACAGUAACCCCAACCCCUUAAAUUGACCAGGAAUUGGGGUCGGGGUUAGAGUGGGGAAUAGUGUAAGUAGUAAUUAAGAAAGUAGUCAUAUUAAACUAUAAAGCACAUCAACAGAUUUUAGGGUUCCUCUUUCUUUAUUUGAAGAUGUAAUAAUUCAUGAAUUAACAUAGUAUAGUCUUUAGUUGUAAUAAAACAUGACACCAUUGGACACCAAUAGCUUAGAGGAAAUACUGUCAUAAUGGGCUUUUGGCCACUUAAGAGCAGCAGAAAACAAGCUGUAAACACAACACUGAAAUAUUAUCACCUUUUGACUUGAUAUGGCAAAGACAAUUUCCUAUUCACACAUAUGAUUCCUUUUUU